CUAUUCGGUGCCUGCUUCGGUUCCGGGCGGCCUGCCGCUCGGUGAAUAGGGAAUGCGGUGCGGGCCUUGGCCCAACUCCGCAACUGCCCCCGCAACUGUAGGCGGAGAGCGAUGCCGGACCAUGUCACUGCUCCCUUCGGGGGCGGGAAGACCCGGCGAAGCUGUGACCCGCGAGUCAGGAGACCUGCCGAAGCCGAUCACCCAGU
rnacentral:ncRNA from 2 species